rnacentral:rRNA from 1 species
AUUGAACGCUGGCGGCAUGCCUAACACAUGCAAGUCGAACGGCAGCGCGGGGGCAACCCUGGCGGCGAGUGGCGGACGGGUGAGGAAUGCAUCGGAAUCUGCCCGGUUGUGGGGGAUAACGUAGGGAAACUUACGCUAAUACCGCAUACGACCCAAGGGUGAAAGUGGGGGACCGCAAGGCCUCACGCGAUCGGAGGAGCCGAUGCCGGAUUAGCUAGUUGGCGGGGUAAAGGCCCACCAAGGCGACGAUCCGUAGCUGGUCUGAGAGGAUGAUGAGCCACACUGGAACUGAGACACGGUCCAGACUCCUACGGGAGGCAGCAGUGGGGAAUAUUGGACAAUGGGCGCAAGCCUGAUCCAGCAAUGCCGCGUGGGUGAAGAAGGCCUUUUGGUUGUAAAGCACUUUAAGCGAGGAGGAGGCUUACCUAGUUAAUACCUGGGAUAAGUGGACGUUACUCGCAGAAUAAGCACCGGCUAACUCUGUGCCAGCAGCCGCAGUAAAAC